rnacentral:rRNA from 1 species
UUCGCAAUGCCCGAAAGGGUGACGAAGCGACGCCGCGUGUGGGAAGAAGGCCUUCGGGUUGUAAACCGCUGUCGGGAGUUAAGAAAUGUAAGGGUGUUAAUAACAUCUUUACUUGACUAAGGCUCCGGAGGAAGCCACGGCUAACUCUGUGCCAGCAGCCGCGGUAAUACAGAGGCGGCAAGCGUUGUUCGGAAUUAUUGGGCGUAAAGAGCACGUAGGCGGCCGUGCAAGUCGGUUGUGAAAGCCUUCCGCUUAACGGAAGAACAGCAGCCGAUACUGCAAGGCUUGAGUGCGGGAGGGGAGAGUGGAACUUCUGGUGGAGCGGUGAAAUGCGUAGAUAUCAGAAGGAACGCCGGCGGCGAAAGCGACUCUCUGGUCCGUAACUGACGCUGAGUGUGCGAAAGCAAGGGGAGCAAACGGGAUUAGAUACCCCGGUAGUCCUAGCCGUAAACGAUGGGCACUAAGUAGAGGGGUUUU